GACGAACGCUGGCGGCGUGCCUAAUACAUGCAAGUAGGACGCAGUUGCGAACGGGUGAUUAACGCGUAGGUAACUACCUAUUAGAGGUGGAUAAAUAUUGGAAACGAUCGCUAACACCGCAUACUAGUAGAUGGACCUGCGUUGUAUUAGCUAGUAGGUAGGGUAAUGGCCUACCUAGGCAACGAUACAUAGCCGACUUGAGAUGGUGGUCGGCCACACUGGGACUGAGACACGGCCGAGACUCCUUCGGGAGGCAGCAGUAGGGAACUUUCGGCAAUGGGGGGAACCCUGACCGAGCAACGCCGCGUGAGUGAAGAAGGUUUUCGGAUCGUAAAGCGCUGUUGUGAAGGUAGCGGUACUUAACGAGAAAGGGACGGCUAACUACGUGCCAGCAGCCGCGGUAAUUC
rnacentral:rRNA from 1 species